rnacentral:rRNA from 1 species
CUAAGUACCUGAAGGAAGAGAAAGAAAUUCGAUUCCGUAAGUAGCGGCGAGCGAACGCGGAUUAGCCCAAACCAAUAAAGUUUUCUUUAUUGGGGUUGCGGACAUAUCAUAACGAAGAGGUAUCGUAAUUGAAGAGGUUUGGAAAGACCCACCACAGAAGGUAAUAGUCCUGUAUGUUAAACGAGAAGACUUCAGAUAUGAUCCAGAGUACCACGGGACACGUGAAACCCUGUGGGAAGCAGGAGGGACCACCCUCCAAGGCUAAAUACUACCUAGUGACCGAUAGCGUAUAGUACCGUGAGGGAAAGGUGAAAAGAACCCCGGGAGGGGAGUGAAAUAGAACCUGAAACCCUGCACUUACAAGCUGUGGAAGCACAUUUCUUGUGUGACCGCGUACUUUUUGUAGAACGGGCCAACGAGUUACGUUAAGUAGCAAGGUUAAGCACUUAAGGUGUGGAGCCGUAGCGAAAGCGAGUUUUAACUGAGCGUUCAGUUACUUGACGUAGACCCGAAACCGGGCGACCUACCCAUGAGCAGGAUGAAGCGAAAGUAAAAUUUCGUGGAGGUCCGAACCCACGAGCGUUGAAAAGCUCGGGGAUGACUUGUGGGUAGCGGUGAAAUUCCAAUCGAGCCCGGAGAUAGCUGGUUCUCCCCGAAAUAGCUUUAGGGCUAGCCUCAAGGUGAGAGAUACGGAGGUAGAGCACUGAAUGUCCUAGGGGGUAUUGCACCUACCGAAGACUAUCAAACUCCGAAUGCCGUCAUCUUAUACUUGGGAGUCAGACUGUGGGUGAUAAGAUUCAUAGUCGAAAGGGCAACAGCCCAGAUCGUCAGCUAAGGUCCCUAAAUGUAAGUUAAGUGGUAAAGGAUGUGGGAUUGCACAGACAACCAGGAUGUUGGCUUAGAAGCAGCCACUCAUUCAAAGAGUGCGUAAUAGCUCACUGGUCGAGUGAUCCUGCGCCGAAGAUUUCCGGGGCUAAAACUUACUACCGAAGCUACGGCAUCAGUAAUGAUGGGUAGGGGAGCUUCCCAUACGGGUUGAAGCAUGACCGUAAGGACAUGUGGACAGUAUGGGAGUGAGAAUGUUGGCAUGAGUAGCGAGAUGUGGGUGAGAAUCCCACAGGCCGUAAACCCAAGGUUUCCAGGGGAAGGUUCGUCCGCCCUGGGUUAGUCGGGACCUAAGCUGAGGCCGAAAGGCGUAGGUGAUGGACAACAGGUUGAUAUUCCUGUACUACCGAUAACCGUUUGAGAGAAGGGAUGACACAGUAGGAUAAGCUAAGCACACUGUUGGUUAUGUGUGCCCAAGCAUUGAGGCAGUCAAAGUAGGCAAAUCCGCUUUGAUAAUGCUGGGAUGUGAUGGGGAGCGAAAUUUAGUAGCGAAGUAGCUGAUUUCACACUGUCAAGAAAAGUCUCUAUCGAGGUUAAAGGUACCCGUACCGCAAACCGACACAGGUGGGUGAGGAGAGUAUCCUAAGGCCAGCGAGAGAACUGUUGUUAAGGAACUCGGCAAAAUGACCCCGUAACUUAGGGAUAAGGGGUGCCACCAUCAGGUGGCCGCAGAGAAUAGGCCCAAGCGACUGUUUACCAAAAACAUAGGUUUCUGCUAAGUCGCAAGACGAUGUAUAGGAGCUGACGCCUGCCCGGUGCUGGAAGGUUAAGGGGAUCUGUUAGAGCAAUCGAAGCAGUGAACUUAAGCCCCAGUAAACGGCGGCCGUAACUAUAACGGUCCUAAGGUAGCGAAAUUCCUUGUCGGGUAAGUUCCGACCCGCACGAAAGGCGUAACGAUUUGGGCACUGUCUCAACAACAGACUCGGUGAAAUUGUAAUUCCGGUGAAGAUGCCGGAUACCUGCGACAGGACGGAAAGACCCCAUGGAGCUUUACUGUAGCUUGACAUUGGGUCUUGGUACUACAUGUACAGGAUAGGUGGGAGGCUUUGAAACCAGGACGCCAGUUUUGGCGGAGCCAUCCUUGGGAUACCACCCUUGUAGUACUGGGACUCUAACCAUAGGCCAUGAAUCUGGUCUUGGGACACUGUCAGGUGGGCAGUUUGACUGGGGCGGUCGCCUCCCAAAAGGUAACGGAGGCGCUCAAAGGUUCUCUCAGUACGGUCGGAAAUCGUACGUAGAGUGUAAAGGCAAAAGAGAGCUUGAUUGCAAGACAUACAGGUCGAGCAAGGAUGAAAAUCGGACUUAGUGAUCCGGUGGUUCUGCGUGGAAGGGCCAUCGCUCAACGGAUAAAAGCUACCCUGGGGAUAACAGGCUUAUCUCCCCCAAGAGUCCACAUCGACGGGGAGGUUUGGCACCUCGAUGUCGGCUCAUCACAUCCUGGGGCUGUAGUAGGUCCCAAGGGUUGGGCUGUUCGCCCAUUAAAGUGGUACGCGAGCUGGGUUCAGAACGUCGUGAGACAGUUCGGUCCCUAUCCGUCGCAGGCGUAGGAAAUUUGAGAAGACCUGUCCUUAGUACGAGAGGACCGGGAUGGACGUACCUCUGGUGUACCAGUUGUUCUGCCAAGGGCAUGGCUGGGUAGCUAUGUACGGAAUGGAUAAGCGCUGAAAGCAUCUAAGCGCGAAGCCAACUUCAAGAUAAGAUUUCCCACCGUAAGGGUAAGACCCCAGAAAGACUAUCUGGUUGAUAGGUCGAAGGUGUAAGUGCAGCAAUGUAUUUAGCUUAUCGAUACUAAUAGGUCGAGGACUUGACCAA